rnacentral:rRNA from 2 species
ACUGGAUAGGAAACAAAAAGGCAUCUUUUUGUUUUUAAAAGACCUUCUUACGAAGGUAUGCUUAAAGAGGGGCUUGCGCCACAUUAGUUAGUUGGUAGAGUAAAAGCCUACCAAGACGAUGAUGUGUAGCUGGACUGAGAGGUUGAACAGCCACAUUGGGACUGAGACACGGCCCAAACUCCUACGGGAGGCAGCAGUAGGGAAUUUUCGGCAAUGGAGGAAACUCUGACCGAGCAACGCCGCGUGAACGAUGAAGUAUUUCGGUAUGUAAAGUUCUUUUAUUGAAGAAGAAAAAGUAGUGGAAAAACUAUAUUGACGUUAUUCAAUGAAUAAGCCCCGGCUAACUAUGUGCCAGCAGCCGCGGUAAGACAUAGGGGGCGAGCGUUAUCCGGAAUUAUUGGGCGUAAAGGGUGCGUAGGCUGUUAGAUAAGUCUAUAAUUUAAUUUCAGUGCUUAACGCUGUCUUGUUAUAGAAACUGUCUUGACUAGAGUGAGAUAGAGGCAAGCGGAAUUCCAUGUGUAGCGGUAAAAUGUGUAAAUAUAUGGAGGAACACCAGAAGCGUAGGCGGCUUGCUGGGUCUUUACUGACGCUGAGGCACGAAAGCGUGGGUAGCAAACAGGAUUAGAUACCCUGGUAGUCCACGCCGUAAACGAUGAGUACUAAGUGUCGGGGUAAAACUCGGUACUGAAGUUAACACAUUAAGUACUCCGCCUGAGUAGUACGUACGCAAGUAUGAAACUUAAAGGAAUUGACGGGACUCCGCACAAGCGGUGGAUCAUGUUGUUUAAUUCGAAGAUACACGAAAAAUCUUACCAGGUCUUGACAUACUCUGCAAAGCUAUAGAAAUAUAGUGGAGGUUAUCAGGGAUACAGGUGGUGCAUGGUUGUCGUCAGUUCGUGUCGUGAGAUGUUAGGUUAAGUCCUAAAACGAACGCAACCCUUGUCGUUAAUUGCCAGCACAUAAUGGUGGGGACUUUAACGAGACUGCCAAUUAAACAUUGGAGGAAGGUGAGGAUUACGUCAAAUCAUCAUGCCCCUUAUGAUCUGGGCUACAAACGUGAUACAAUGGCUGUGACAAAGAGUAGCUGAAACGCGAGUUUUUAGCCAAUCUCAAAAAAGCAGUCUCAGUUCGGAUUGAAGUCUGUAACU